rnacentral:rRNA from 1 species
GACGAACGCUGGCGGCGUGCUUAACACAUGCAAGUCGAACGGAAAGGCCCUGCUUUUGUGGGGUGCUCGAGUGGCGAACGGGUGAGUAACACGUGAGUAACCUGCCCUUGACUUUGGGAUAACUUCAGGAAACUGGGGCUAAUACCGGAUAGGAGCUCCUGCUGCAUGGUGGGGGUUGGAAAGUUUCGGCGGUUGGGGAUGGACUCGCGGCUUAUCAGCUUGUUGGUGGGGUAGUGGCUUACCAAGGCUUUGACGGGUAGCCGGCCUGAGAGGGUGACCGGCCACAUUGGGACUGAGAUACGGCCCAGACUCCUACGGGAGGCAGCAGUGGGGAAUAUUGCACAAUGGGCGGAAGCCUGAUGCAGCAACGCCGCGUGCGGGAUGACGGCCUUCGGGUUGUAAACUGCUUUCGCCUGUGACGAAGCGUGAGUGACGGUAAUGGGUAAAGAAGCACCGGCUAACUACGUGCCAGCAGCCGCGGUGAUACGUAGGGUGCGAGCGUUGUCCGGAUUUAUUGGGCGUAAAGGGCUCGUAGGUGGUUGAUCGCGUCGGAAGUGUAAUCUUGGGGCUUAACCCUGAGCGUGCUUUCGAUACGGGUUGACUUGAGGAAGGUAGGGGAGAAUGGAAUUCCUGGUGGAGCGGUGGAAUGCGCAGAUAUCAGGAGGAACACCAGUGGCGAAGGCGGUUCUCUGGGCCUUUCCUGACGCUGAGGAGCGAAAGCGUGGGGAGCGAACAGGCUUAGAUACCCUGGUAGUCCACGCUGUAAACGGUGGGUACUAGGUGUGGGGUCCAUUCCACGGGUUCCGUGCCGUAGCUAACGCUUUAAGUACCCCGCCUGGGGAGUACGGCCGCAAGGCUAAAACUCAAAGGAAUUGACGGGGCCCCGCACAAGCGGCGGAGCAUGCGGAUUAAUUCGAUGCAACGCGUAGAACCUUACCUGGGUUUGACAUGGAUCGGGAGUGCUCAGAGAUGGGUGUGCCUCUUUUGGGGUCGGUUCACAGGUGGUGCAUGGCUGUCGUCAGCUCGUGUCGUGAGAUGUUGGGUUAAGUCCCGCAACGAGCGCAACCCUUGUUCACUGUUGCCAGCACGUUAUGGUGGGGACUCAGUGGAGACCGCCGGGGUCAACUCGGAGGAAAGUGGGGAUGACGUCAAGUCAUCAUGCCCCUUAUGUCCAGGGCUUCACGCAUGCUACAAUGGCUGGUACAGAGAGUGGCGAGCCUGUGAGGGUGAGCGAAUCUCGGAAAGCCGGUCUCAGUUCGGAUUGGGGUCUGCAACUCGACCUCAUGAAGUCGGAGUCGCUAGUAAUCGCAGAUCAGCAACGCUGCGGUGAAUACGUUCCCGGG